rnacentral:tRNA from 1 species
AUGUUUAUUUUUUAAAAAAAAUAUUUUUUUCUUAAGGAAAUUAGUUGAUUUUUAUAAAAAUU